CAUGCAAGUCGAACGGAAGUUUAAGCAAUUAAACUCUAGUGGCGAACGGGUGAGUAACGCGUAAGCAAUCUGCCCCUAAGACGAGGAUAACAGUUGGAAACGACUGCUAAGACUGGAUAGGAGACAAGAAGGCAUCUUCUUGUUUUUAAAAGACCUAGCAAUAGGUAUGCUUAGGGAGGAGCUUGCGUCACAUUAGUUAGUUGGUGGGGCAAAGGCCUACCAAGACUAUGAUGUGUAGCCGGGCUGAGAGGUUGAACGGCCACAUUGGGACUGAGACACGGCCCAAACUCCUACGGGAGGCAGCAGUAGGAAAUUUUCGGCAAUGGAGGAAACUUUGACCGAGCAACGCCGCGUGAACGAUGAAGUAUUUCGGUACGUAAAGUUCUUUUUUUAGGGAAGAAUAAAUGAUGGAAAAAUCAUUCUGACGGUACCUAAUGAAUAAGCCCCGGCAAACUAUGUGCCAGCAGCCGCGGUAAUACAUAGGGGGCAAGCGUUAUCCGGAAUUAUUGGGCGUAAAGGGUGCGUAGGCGGUUAAAUAAGUUUAUGGUCUAAGUGCAAUGCUCAACAUUGUGAUGCUAUAAAAACUGUUUAGCUAGAGUAAGAUAGAGGCAAGUGGAAUUCCAUGUGUAGUGGUAAAAUGCGUAAAUAUAUGGAGGAACACCAGUAGCGAAGGCGGCUUGCUGGGUCUUUACUGACGCUGAGGCACGAAAGCGUGGGGAGCAAACAGGAUUAGAUACCCUGGUAGUCCACGCCGUAAACGAUGAGUACUAAACGUUGGGUAAAACCAGUGUUGAAGUUAACACAUUAAGUACUCCGCCUGAGUAGUACGUACGCAAGUAUGAAACUUAAAGGAAUUGACGGGACUCCGCACAAGCGGUGGAUCAUGUUGUUUAAUUCGAAGGUACCCGAAAAACCUCACCAGGUCUUGACAUGCUUCUGCAAAGCUGUAGAAACACAGUGGAGGUUAUCAGUUGCACAGGUGGUGCAUGGUUGUCGUCAGCUCGUGUCGUGAGAUGUUGGGUUAAGUCCCGCAACGAGCGCAACCCUUAUUGUUAGUUACCAGCACGUAAUGGUGGGGACUUUAGCAAGACUGCCAGUGAUAAAUUGGAGGAAGGUGGGGACGACGUCAAAUCAUCAUGCCCCUUAUGACCUGGGCUACAAACGUGAUACAAUGGCUGUUACAAAGGGUAGCUGAAGCGCAAGUUUUUGGCGAAUCUCAAAAAAACAGUCUCAGUUCGGAUUGAAGUCUGCAACUCGACUUCAUGAAGUUGGAAUCGCUAGUAAUCGCGAAUCAGCAUGUCGCGGUGAAUACGUUCUCGGGGUUUGUACACACCGCCCGUCAAACCACGAAAGUUGGUAAUACCCAAAGCCGGUGGCCUAACUUCGCAAGAAGAGGGAACCGUCUAAGGUAGGGUCGAUGAUUGGGGUUAAG
rnacentral:rRNA from 1 species